CUACGUGCCAGCAGCCGCGGUAAUACGGAAGGUCCAGGCGUUAUCCGGAUUUAUUGGGUUUAAAGGGAGUGUAGGCGGUCUGUUAAGCGUGUUGUGAAAUUUAGGUGCUCAACAUCUACCUUGCAGCGCGAACUGGCGGACUUGAGUGCACGCAACGUAUGCGGAAUUCAUGGUGUAGCGGUGAAAUGCUUAGAUAUCAUGACGAACUCCGAUUGCGAAGGCAGCUGACGGGAGCGCAACUGACGCUUAAGCUCGAAGGUGCGGGUAUCAAACAGGAUUAGAUACCCUGGUAGUCCGCACAGUAAACGAUGGAUGCCCGCUGUUGGUACCUGGUAUCAGCGGCUAAGCGAAAGCAUUAAGCAUCCCACCUGGGGAGUACGCCGGCAACGGUGAAACUCAAAGGAAUUGACGGGGGCCCGCACAAGCGGAGGAACAUGUGGUUUAAUUCGAUGAUACGCGAGGAACCUUACCCGGGCUUGAA
rnacentral:rRNA from 1 species